rnacentral:tRNA from 1 species
UGGGGCGUCGUCAAGUGGCUAAGACACAUGGUUUUGGUCCAUGCAUUCGCAGGUUCGAGUCCUGCCGCCCCAACCA